rnacentral:rRNA from 1 species
GACGAACGCUGGCGGCGUGCUUAACACAUGCAAGUCGAACGAUGAAACCUAGCUUGCUAGGUCGAUUAGUGGCGAACGGGUGAGUAACACGUGACUAACCUGCCCCUUUCUCUGGGAUAACGAUCCGAAAGGAGUGCUAAUACCGGUUACUCACACCGAGGCACAUGCCUUGGUGUGGAAAGUUUUUCGGAAAGGGAUGGAGUCGCGGCCUAUCAGGUUGUUGGUGAGGUAACGGCUCACCAAGGCGACGACGGGUAGCCGGCCUGAGAGGGCGAGCGGCCAAACUGGGACUGAGACACGGCCCAGACUCCUACGGGAGGCAGCAGUGGGGAAUAUUGCACAAUGGGCGCAAGCCUGAUGCAGCGACGCCGCGUGAGGGAUGACGGCCUUCGGGUUGUAAACCUCUUUCAGCACAGACGAAGCGCAAGUGACGGUAUGUGCAGAAGAAGGACCGGCCAACUACGUGCCAGCAGCCGCCGUAA